UACGUAGGGUGCAAGCGUUGUCCGGAAUUAUUGGGCGUAAAGGGCUCGUAGGCGGUUUGUCGCGUCUGCUGUGAAAACGCGAGGCUCAACCUCGCGCCUGCAGUGGGUACGGGCAGACUAGAGUGCGGUAGGGGAGAUUGGAAUUCCUGGUGUAGCGGUGGAAUGCGCAGAUAUCAGGAGGAACACCGGUGGCGAAGGCGGGUCUCUGGGCAGUAACUGACGCUGAGGAGCGAAAGCGUGGGGAGCGAACAGG
rnacentral:rRNA from 1 species